UGCGCAGGCGGUCUCUUAAGUCUGUCUUAAAAGUGCGGGGCUUAACCCCGUGAGGGGACGGAAACUGGGAGACUGGAGUAUCGGAGAGGAAAGCAGAAUUCCUGGUGUAGCGGUGAAAUGCGUAGAUAUUAGGAGGAAUACCAGUGGCGAAAGCGGCUUUCUGGACGACAACUGACGCUGAGGCACGAAAGCCAGGGGAGCGAACG
rnacentral:rRNA from 1 species